AUACGACCAUAUGGUGUGGAAAACAGGGCUUCCCGUCCGCUCAGCCGUACUUAAGCCACACGCCGGGAGGUUAGUAGUUGGGUGGGUGACCACCAGCGAAUCCCUCCUGUUGUAUG
rnacentral:rRNA from 1 species